CCUACGGGAGGCAGCAGUGGGGAAUCUUGCACAAUGGAGGAAACUCUGAUGCAGCGAUGCCGCGUGAGUGAAGAAGGCCUUUGGGUUGUAAAGCUCUUUCGUCGGGGAAGAAAAUGACUGUACCCGAAUAAGAAGGUCCGGCUAACUUCGUGCCAGCAGCCGCGGUAAUACGAAGGGACCUAGCGUAGUUCGGAAUUACUGGGCUUAAAGAGUUCGUAGGUGGUUGAAAAAGUUGGUGGUGAAAUCCCAGAGCUUAACUCUGGAACUGCCAUCAAAACUUUUCAGCUAGAGUAUGAUAGAGGAAAGCAGAAUUUCUAGUGUAGAGGUGAAAUUCGUAGAUAUUAGAAAGAAUACCAAUUGCGAAGGCAGCUUUCUGGAUCAUUACUGACACUGAGGAACGAAAGCAUGGGUAGCGAAGAGGAUUAGAUACCCUCGUAGUCCAUGCCGUAAACGAUGUGUGUUAGACGUUGGAAAUUUAUUUUCAGUGUCGCAGGGAAACCGAUAAACACACCGCCUGGGGAGUAUGACCACAAGGUUAAAACUCAAAGGAAUUGACGG
rnacentral:rRNA from 1 species